CAGCCGCCACGGUAAUACGUAGGGUGCGAGCGUUAAUCGGAAUUACUGGGCGUAAAGCGUGCGCAGGCGGUUUUGUAAGACAGGCGUGAAAUCCCCGGGCUCAACCUGGGAAUGGCGCUUGUGACUGCAAAGCUAGAGUGCGGCAGAGGGGGAUGGAAUUCCGCGUGUAGCAGUGAAAUGCGUAGAUAUGCGGAGGAACACCGAUGGCGAAGGCAAUCCCCUGGGCCUGCACUGACGCUCAUGCACGAAAGCGUGGGGAGCAAACAGGAUUAGAUACCCGCGUAGUCCCUGUCUCUUAUAA
rnacentral:rRNA from 1 species